rnacentral:tRNA from 1 species
GCUGCUCCUGGAACACGGCGAGGGCGGCGUCCUUCUCGGGGAUGCCGCUUUCCGGCAGUUCGAUGUCGCCGCGCGUCG